GUUAUCAUUGAAAUUUUGGAAAAAUCAACGUUGAAGUUGACACAUAAAUUUUAAAAAUUUUUUCUUUUAGUGAAACUAAAAUUUUUAAAGUAUGGCAUCAGAACAAACUGAUAAGGCAUUGUUUCGAAUAAAUGAUGUCAUUAUGGCUGUGGAUCACCGUCGAGCUAUAGACAGAGACCCCAAACUACACAUAGGUUUAAAUCCAUUAUUUUUAUCAAUGAGACAAGAAUUGCACACCUUGAAAUUGUUAAAUACAAAAAACAGAAAAGAUAGGUUGAGAAAACUGUUUAUCAAUGAUUACCUUCAAGAAGAAAAGGAGCUUCGACAGAUAGGGUUGGCAUAUAUUAAUACACAAAUAUAAAUGAUUAAUUUGUAAUAUGAAUAAUAUGUACAUCCUUGAAUGGUACUGUUUUCUUUACAGCUUAAUUUUAGAGACAAUGAUGUCAUUUACCUAUACCAGCAUACAGUGGUAGAUAUCAAUUUAUCCAAAUAAAUGUCAAAGCUUUUCUUUAUCCUUCUGAAGAAAAUUUGGCUCUAUAACACCACUGUUUAGGAACAUUUUUUGCUCAAAGUUAAAGUAUAAU